rnacentral:snoRNA from 1 species
AUACCCCCUUUCUCUUUGCCAUUUGGACUUAAAUCUUUAUUGGUCAUUCAAGUAGGGCAAAGGAAAAUAACCUUUUAAAACUCAGGCAAACUAAGUGUUUUCCUGUAACCUUUCAGAGGAGACAAAC